GCCCGCUCAGAAACUACAAAGGAAUUGACGGGCCGCACAAGCGGUGAGUAUGUGGUUUAAUUCGAUGCAACGCGAAGAACCUUACCUGGUCUUGACAUCCCGGAGACCCUUAGGAAACUAGGGGGUGCUUCCAUCUGGAAGAAUCUGGAGACAGGUGCUGCAUGGCUGUCGUCAGCUCGUGUCGUGAGAUGUUGGGUUAAGUCCCGCAACGAGCGCAACCCUUGCCUUUUAGUUGCCAGCAGUUCGGCUGGGCACUCUAAAGGGACUGCCGGUGUUAAACCGGAGGAAGGUGGGGAUGACGUCAAGUCCUCAUGGCCUUUAUGACCAGGGCUACACACGUACUACAAUGGCCGAUACAAAGGGCAGCGACACUGCGAGGUGAAGCCAAUCCCGUAAAAUCGGUCUCAGUCCGGAUUGGAGUCUGCAACUCGACUCCAUGAAGUUGGAAUCGCUAGUAAUCGUGGAUCAGCAUGCCACGGUGAAUACGUUCCCGGGCCUU
rnacentral:rRNA from 1 species